CCUUGAAGAUCGGAGUGCUUGCACUCUGUGAAACAAGAUACAGGCUAGCGGCGGACGGGUGAGUAACACGUGGGUAACCUGCCCAAGAGAUCGGGAUAACACCUGGAAACAGAUGCUAAUACCGGAUAACAACAGAUGAUGCCUAUCAACUGUUUAAAAGAUGGUUCUGCUAUCACUCUUGGAUGGACCUGCGGUGCAUUAGCUAGUUGGUAGGGUAACGGCCUACCAAGGCGAUGAUGCAUAGCCGAGUUGAGAGACUGAUCGGCCACAUUGGGACUGAGACACGGCCCAAACUCCUACGGGAGGCAGCAGUAGGGAAUCUUCCACAAUGGACGCAAGUCUGAUGGAGCAACGCCGCGUGAGUGAAGAAGGGUUUCGGCUCGUAAAGCUCUGUUGUUGGUGAAGAAGGACAGGGGUAGUAACUGACCUUUGUUUGACGGUAAUCAAUUAGAAAGUCACGGCUAACUACGUGCCAGCAGCCGCGGUAAUACGUAGGUGGCAAGCGUUGUCCGGAUUUAUUGGGCGUAAAGCGAGUGCAGGCGGCUCGAUAAGUCUGAUGUGGAAGCCUUCGGCUCAUCCGGAGAAUUGCAUCAGAUACUGUCGAGCUUGAGUACAGA
rnacentral:rRNA from 1 species